AAAAAAUUACUUACAAGAGAAUGUAGAAUUGUUUCUGAAAGAGAUUUGCCAUGUUCUUUUUUAUAAAACAAAGAAAGCAAAAAGUUGUGUUUGUCUCAGGAAAGGAAAUCAAUGAGUGCAUAUUUAUUAUAAUGUUAUUUGUUGCCUUUCUUGAUUUCAAAGAACUAUAACCCCUCCAGAAAGAGAAGUCCUUUUGGACAUCCUGCAUGAAGAACUACUCUGACAACUGCAUCUGAACAGAGCACUGAGUAUGGCACUGAAGCAAAGAAAGAGCAAAAGGUGGCAGUCUGCUUCCUCUGCCUGUUAACAGGUCAGACCUGACUCCUCUAUCCUCUUCUAUAGCUAAGCAUGCUUUUAAUGUAUAAGGACAAAGGACUCUCAAGUAAUAGAAUAGAGCCUAGAAAACGAGGAUAUUAUAAUAAUGGCCUUUCUUAAACAUAAAAACCACUUCACUGCUUAUAUGGUGUAAUAUCAAUUUAGAUUGAUAUGAUUUUUUCUUGCCAAUUUGUAUCUUUUACUUCUAGAAGCUUUUCUUCAGUGACCAAUUUCUUUGACCUUAACAGAAAACUGGGCCCCACCAUGUGCUGAGCCUUUAAUGAAUUGGUAGAGACACACCCUAGGAGCUCCAUGUCUGUUCAUAUGGACUAGUUUAAAGAUUAUGGGCUGCUGUAGUCUCAUAGGAGAAAUGGUCUAAAACAUUCUUUACUAUGACCACAAACCUAAUUUGGCGCUCUGGUUGUGCCAGGAGCAAUACUGAGCCUUGACUCUGGCUGUGUGGUUAGCAAGCCUCAGGCAGGCUGGGGCAGUGUCCCACCACUCCCGUUGAGAAAGCAGAAGGCAAUAAUCUCUCUCAGCACUUCUGUUGCUUCGUGGAGUACGUGAAGCUGCUCCAGGUAUGCACUGUCUGUAGCCACAUGCAUGCAAUAAUUUGGAGCCAUUGGACCAUCAGCUGUAAAGCAAAAAAUUAACUUCUGUGGAGAUACAGUUAUGAACAGUAUGAUCUCCUUAUCAAGCUAUCAUGCAAGUAAAUAGCCUCAGUUUGUGGUACAAAUAUUAAAGGAGUUAAUUUGCUUAAAUUUUGCCUGUCAUAUGAAGCCUGUAAUCAGAGCAACUACCAUCUCCUUUGGUAUUCCCUGUGGAGUACAGAGAUUGUUGUCCAAAUACUCACCAGACAAAACUUUCUCUCCUAUAAGGCAACAAACAAGAUAAAACUCAGAAGUUAAUUUUGCUUAUGUAAAAUAGUUCCAUCUAUGUUAUGUUCCUCCUGCUUUUGCCUUGACCCAUUAGCUAGCAAAUCCUCACAGACUUGCACCAAGGCCAAAUUUCUUCACCAAGCACCUCAGCAUGAGCCAAAGGGUGGAUGGAUGCAUCCUGAAAGGCUGACAUCGAGGAGAAGGUACCUACUAAAACACAAUAAUAAUUAUGACAUUUUGCUACUUUGCAAAAUGCUGUUACAAUAUGGCAAGGUUUACUGCAGGGAAAGGGAUGGAGUCAGAAAUAGUUGCUGUAUUUUGUGAACAAAAAGGAGUCUUCAUUUCUGAGUUUUGCAUUGUUAUAGUUGGUAAGAAAUCUGAAAAUGUAUUUCAAUAAUAUGAGAUUAAAUUUAUAAUUACAUAUUUUUACUAUAACAGCAGAGAAAAUAUUUUGAAUUAAGAUCCACUACCAACAAGAGCUGUUAUAGGCAUUAACCUUUGUAAUUGAUUUUAGUCAUCUGUGACCUGAUUAUGAAAAUGCUAGACUUUUGCAAUGCACUUGGAAAUAGUAGGCUGGGCAUGUGAAUCCUGCUAUAAGUUGAUGAUUGUAUUUUAUCCUAUCUCUUGUGACCCUUGGCCUAUUUAAAGCAAAUAUCAGAUGGCCUUUUGUGUUUUGUUUCAUCAGCAAAGAAGACUGGAUGUUUUAACAGGUCUUUAAUAAGCAGCUUUAUGCAUCAGCUGCAGUGCAGGAGGGUGGAUCAAAAUUAUGUUCAAGGUGGAAAAGUAUUUCAUUUAACUACAGACACAGAAGAGUCCAGCACAGCCACUGAAGAUUCCUCUGUAGGCAAUGGACAAGGAUCCCAGCAGCCGUAAGCAAGUGUUUAUAAAUGAGGUCAACUGUCCCCUAGUGAUUUUUGUUUUUCUCUGUCUGGUAUAGUGAGUGAACAAAUUACUAGAUUAUACCUAGACAAUUUCCACCCAGACUAAAAAAGUUAGGGUGAAAUAAUUCCACUAGGAAAAGAACAAAGGUAAACUGAGCUCUAACAGGAUGCGACCUCUCUACGGGGUACUGAGCAGUGCUACUUAAAUGGCCUGUCAAGGUGCCUCACUGAUGAAAAGUAGUCUAAAUCAAAUCUGAGAAUCAAAUCAAAGUGGAACCAAGCAGAAACCAAGAAAUCGAAGCAGACAGCUCAGUCUUGGACAACCCUUUGACAGGGGGCACAUAUCCCAAAAGAGGGUAACUAAAUCAUGCUACUCUUUAGUAAUCAGGCUUUAGUGACCCUCGAAUGAAACUGGUAAAUGGGUAUGAGAUCUAUUAUUUUUUUAACAUAUUGUUUGUUUUUUGUGGUUUUUCUUGGUUGGUUGGUUUAGGGUUUUUUUUUGUUGGCGUGUUUUGGUUUUUGUUGUGAAUGUACAUCAGUCUUUGCCUGUCCGAUAAAGGAGGCCUGACUUUCUUUUAUUUUAUUUUUUUUUUUAAAGGGAUGUCAUGUUUCAUAUAUUCACACUGGUGUUCAGGAACUAAAAAGGGAUCUGUUCCUGAUGUAUUUCCCAGGCACAUCCACGCAGUCCUGGUCCCUAUGCCAGGACACCUACCAAGAUUCUUACCACUCCCUUGCUGCAAGAUAGGAGUAUUUAAUCCGUGGCUUACACCAAGAGAAAGCUUACACCAAUGAAUCACUGAGAAGGAAAUAUCCCAGUUUGCUGGUAGAAGUUCACUUGAAUGGAGUUGUUUUGGGGCCUUUGGCAACACCUUGCUGAAGGCCUUGCUGCUGUUGGACACAAACAAGGCAGAUGAAACUUUGUUCAGAGAGAAAUGAUAUUGUACACUAUAGUGGCCAGAACAUAUCAUUCUUUGUCUUCAUAAUAAAUUAAAACACAAGUUCAAAGAAGAUUUCAGUAGGAACUGAGGACCCUGACAUUUUCACCAGUAAAGGAUUUUUCAGGUGCUUUUGCUCUCAAGUGGAAGAAUCUGGCCCCAUGCUUCCCACUGGGCAGGGCACAUCAUGCUGUAUCUUCUGCAACUUUCCUGCUGACCACUGCUCUUACUUUUCAAAGGUGACACCUGUGAAUCAGUGCUUAAGGCAUGUCACACUCAGCUCUCCCAUCAUUACCAAGAUAAAAAAGUCCCACAGGCAACUCUCCUUCAAGCUCACCUCAGCUACUUAGUGGUUCUUCCACUCGCUACCUCAUGUCUUGGUUUGCUCCUAAACCUCCAUCCAUGAAUUUUCUCCUUCUUUUAUGUCUUUUUUGGAGAAUGUGACUAUUGGUCCUGCUGUUCUCUUGAAACCCAUAUAUAUAUAUUUCCCAUGCUGGCCAAUUGUUUUCUCGAGUGAACAGGAAUUCAAUAUAAUCCAGCAUCCAGUCUGCAGAAAUACUCUUACAAUAAUGUUUUACCUACCUCCAGGAAUCAUUCAAUGUCCAAAUGCAACUGUCUCAUAUUGCAUCCAUGAGUUGUUCAUCUGUAGAUAGUGUGGCAGUGUUGCCAAUGAAUAGCUCAAAAAUUUUAUUAAAAAAUUAGCUUGAAAGACGGUAUUGUGAAAAGAGAGCUUUCUUUUUAAGGGCUGCAUUUGCUUUCAGGUAAAAUUGCUUCAUUUUUUUGCUUCAUUGCUUUUCUUUUUCAUUAUUUUUUCCAAGCCCGAUCAUCCAUCCAGUGUAACUGAGCUGUUUCCAGCAAUGAAUUUUGCUUGCUCCACAUUUCAGGACAAGGUUAUAGCUCUAAAGUGUUUCUGCCACAUAAUUUCUCAUGCAAAAUAUUUUCUCUUCUAGCUAUAAAAUUGCGUGAUCCUGUUAUUCUCACAGAGAUAGGAAUUUAGAAAUGUGGACACCUUCUCAGAUAUUUUUAAGAACAUAACAUGGAAGAUUUCACAGGAAGAGAUGGGCUAAGUGCUCAUUGCUAUUCCUACUUGUCUAAAAUAUUCCUACUUGUCUACAAUAUCCCUGUAAGCCAAGAGUGAAAGUGUUUCAUUCUGCCUCUAAGAAACAGAGCAGGCCAUUACCAGAAUAACUGGUGACACCACUGUCACUCUGGCUCGAGAUUAUCUGGUGCAUAAAAUGUGCAUCAUCAGGCACUUGCUCAGUUCUUUCCUUUAGAUUGCUGAGUACUGUGAAGCCACUCCAAAAAACUUCAGGGGUGUCUGUGGUGGAAGUCCUUCUGCAUAAAUUGACCCUUCCCCGCAUUCCAGUGUUCCUGCUUUGAUAUCCUUUUCUCCUUACCUGCAGGUAUGCUGCACCGUUGCUGUCAAAUUCAAGUAUACUAAUCUCACUGUGCAUCGGUGUUACUCAGAACUUCCUCCUGCCUGAGAAAACUUCCCAGCCGCCUUCAGAGUGCUUGUGCUUUGACUUUGAAGUUACAAUUACCCAGACAAAGCUGCCAGUAGGGAAAUAUCACUCUUUAUUUCCUUUUCCUCUGCAUCAAGGAUUGGAUUUGCACCUUUUGCAAAUCAACACAAGACUGCUGAGGACAGAGAAAUGGUC